rnacentral:lncRNA from 1 species
GUGUAUUGUCUGUGUGUAUUAACAGUGUAUUGUCUGUGUGUAUUAACAGUGUAUUGUCUGUGUGUAUUAACAGUGUAUUGUCUGUGUGUAUUAAGUGUGUCUGUGUAUUAACAGUGUGUCUGUGUGUAUUAACAGUGUGUCUGUGUGUAUUAACUGUGUGUCUGUGUGUAUUAACUGUGUGUCUGUGUGUAUUAACUGUGUGUCUGUGUGUAUUAACUGUGUGUCUGUGUGUAUUAACUGUGUGUCUGUGUGUAUUAACUGUGUGUCUGUGUGUUGUGUCUGUGUGUCUGUGUGUGUCUGUGUGUAUUGUCUGUGUGUCUGUGUGUAUUGUCUGUGUGUCUGUGUGUAUUGUCUGUGUGUCUGUGUGUAUUAA